CAUGACUCUAAGGAACAGCCGGCCCUCCAGCCACGCAACAACGGAAGCUAGACACGCUUUCCCGGGGAGGCACGCCCCUACGCAGAGAUAGACACGCCCCCAAGCACAAUGGCACGCCCCCUAUAGAGCGAGACACACCCCCGAGUCAAACUGCACUUGACUGUUAGGACGCUAGGAGCUCCCAUGCCUCGAAGUUGUAGUGGGCUCCAGCAGUUAGCUACUAUCUUUUGUUAGGGCUGAGGCAACACCGGUUAGGACUUGGGCAGCUUCACCACAGAACAGACUUUCUCAAGUUGACAUAUUUUAUUCUCAUGAAGUCCACCUUUUUUCAUUCACAUGGAAAAAGAGUGAUUAUGAAGUCAUGCUGUAAACUGUAACCUUUCUCAUUUACUUGGAUAUAAGAGUGUUCAACUCACUUAGCAAAGACGGUGCUACCUGAAUUGGAGGCUGGUGUCUUCUGACUCCUUCAACUCCCUUUGAGUAAGUUCCUCGCUGUCUUAGUUCCUUCAUGAUGUUAAAACACGACACAGAACUGGGGACCGUGCAAGUAAGAGAAAAUACUUCACACCGUUCUAAGACAGUGAAGUCCAAGAUCAAGGCAUGUGCAGGAUGUGGGAGUGAUGGUUGCAGCACAUCCUGCUUACUGAUGAUGAGAGCUACACACAGGAGGAAGUGGAACGGCGCCUUGGAAACAGUCACUACUGUGGUCAGUGCCUCCUGAGGACUGCACUAAACCACAGAAGAGGGGAGACUGAACGCAGACCUUCAUGCUUGUUAACAUGCACUCUGUCGCUGAACUUCAACCCCAGCCCCGAAGCAUUCUGAUUAAUAAAAGAACCCACGCUGUAAGAUGUGAAACGUUCAUCUAGACCUUAAAUACAAACUUAAAUUCCUAUAGCACUCAUACCCUCUGGAUUAUAGCAUAAGACUAAUGUACUCCGCAUGCAUUUUGUAAUUUCAUGGUCAUUCCAUGAUUUAGAGUGAGAUUGAAUAAAACUCUAAAGUGAAC
ensembl:lncRNA LOC102556915 uncharacterized LOC102556915